rnacentral:rRNA from 1 species
GACGAACGCUGGCGGCGUGCUUAACACAUGCAAGUCGAACGGAAAGGCCUCUUUCGGGGGGUACUCGAGUGGCGAACGGGUGAGUAACACGUGAGUAACCUGCCCUUGACUUUGGGAUAACUUCAGGAAACUGGGGCUAAUACCGGAUAGGAGCUCCUGCUGCAUGGUGGGGGUUGGAAAGUUUCGGCGGUUGGGGAUGGACUCGCGGCUUAUCAGCUUGUUGGUGGGGUAGUGGCUUACCAAGGCUUUGACGGGUAGCCGGCCUGAGAGGGUGACCGGCCACAUGGGGACUGAGAUACGGCCCAGACUCCUACGGGAGGCAGCAGUGGGGAAUAUUGCACAAUGGGUGGAAGCCUGAUGCAGCAACGCCGUGUGCGGGAUGACGGCCUUCGGGUUGUACCGCUUUCGCCUGUGACGAAGCGUGAGUGACGGUAAUGGGUAAAGAAGCACCGGCUAACUACGUG